rnacentral:rRNA from 1 species
AUUGAACGCUGGCGGCAUGCUUUACACAUGCAAGUCGAACGGUAACAGGCCGCAAGGUGCUGACGAGUGGCGAACGGGAGAGUAAUGCAUCGGAACGUGCCCAGUCGUGGGGGAUAACGCAGCGAAAGCUGCGCUAAUACCGCAUACGAUCUAUGGAUGAAAGCGGGGGACCGAAAGGCCUCGCGCGAUUGGAGCGGCCGAUGUCAGAUUAGGUAGUUGGUGGGGUAAAGGCUCACCAAGCCAACGAUCUGUAGCUGGUCUGAGAGGACGACCAGCCACACUGGGACUGAGACACGGCCCAGACUCCUACGGGAGGCAGCAGUGGGGAAUUUUGGACAAUGGGCGCAAGCCUGAUCCAGCAAUGCCGCGUGCAGGAAGAAGGCCUUCGGGUUGUAAACUGCUUUUGUACGGAACGAAACGGUCUGGGUUAAUACCUCGGGCUAAUGACGGUACCGUAAGAAUAAGCACCGGCUAACUACGUGCCAGCAGCCGCAGUAAGAC